rnacentral:rRNA from 1 species
CCUACGGGUGGCAGCAGUGAGGAAUAUUGGUCAAUGGCCGGAAGGCUGAACCAGCCAUGCCGCGUGAAGGUCAGUGCCCUAUGGGCGUUAAACUUCUUUUGUGCGGGAGCAAUAAUGGUCACGUGUGGCCAGACGAGAGUACCGUACGAAUAAGCAUCGGCUAACUCCGUGCCAGCAGCCGCGGUAAUACGGGGGAUGCAAGCGUUAUCCGGAUUUAUUGGGUUUAAAGGGUGCGUAGGCUGGGAGGUAAGUCAGCGGUGAAAUGCCCGCGCUCAACGGGGUGAAGUGCCAUUGAUACUGGCUGGCUGGAAUGCGGAUGCGGUGGGAGGAAUGUGUGGUGUAGCGGUGAAAUGCAUAGAUAUCACACAGAACACCGAUUGCGAAGGCAUCUCACGAAUCCGCGAUUGACGCUGAUGCACGAAAGCGUGGGUAUCAAACAGGAUUAGAUACCCCUGUAGUC